ACGUGGGCAAUCUGCCCUAAAGACUGGGAUACCACUUGGAAACAGGUGCUAAUACCGGAUAACAACAUGAAUCGCAUGAUUCAAGUUUGAAAGGCGGCGUAAGCUGUCACUUUAGGAUGAGCCCGCGGCGCAUUAGCUAGUUGGUGGGGUAAAGGCCUACCAAGGCAAUGAUGCGUAGCCGAGUUGAGAGACUGAUCGGCCACAUUGGGACUGAGACACGGCCCAAACUCCUACGGGAGGCAGCAUG
rnacentral:rRNA from 1 species